rnacentral:tRNA from 1 species
GUCCCCAUCGUCUAGUGGCCAAGGACCCCGUCUUUUCGAGGCGGCGACAGAGGUUCAAAUCCUCUUGGGGACGCCA